rnacentral:lncRNA from 1 species
UCACAUUCUGCUUUUUCCCCAUCAUCUAAUGCCUGCGUGAACACUACUCUGCUCUGCUCCUGUCUAAGCCCGACAUGACCAGAUUACCACUCUUCUGUGAAGGAUCGACACGAAGAUUAACUGCUGGAAAUGCAAACUGCAACAUGGAUGCCACUUGUCACUAUAAGAAUGACAUAAAAUUCCCACCUUCUAAGCGCACUGUGUUCAGACAUCUUUUCCCCAGAGGAAAUUAAGGCAUAACUGCAGAACAUUAACCCUCAAAGCAAGUUAGUUGAGGUUUUCCAAUGAGCUCUUGGGUCCAUUGGUAGUGAAGUGAGCUUCAGGUAACAGCUCUUGUCGAGGCUUUAGUUAUAAAAUAACAUAUGAAAUUGCUCUUUGCUCUUUUCUUCCGGCUGCAGCUAAAGAACAAAGACGCAAGGAACUUUUCUUUUCAAAAAACUAGUCAUAUGGAAUGAACUUUUGUUUGUAAUAAUCAUACGGAAGGAACCUUUUUUUUAAAACAAAAAAUAAAGAGAUGGAAAGAUCUGUCGUCCAGGGAUUUUUUAACCUUUUUUAAAAUAUUUUAAAAAAAAAUCUCUCCCCACUUUAUUUGCACGGGGUAACCCUUUUGGCGGCGCUAGUGCCCGUGGCAUGCCCUGGUGCCACGGUGGCGUGGCGUCCCGCGCCGUGCCAGCGCGGUGCUAACCUAGCCUCGCGCUUGCCAUGCCACCCUGCUUGGCGCGACAAGGCUGCCGCGCGGUAGCGCCUGGGUUACAGGCCGCGCGCGCCGGCUCCUCCUCCUGGCAUACAGCAUAAGAAAGCCCUUGUUUGAAGCUAAUAUUAAACAGUAUAAACAGUUGGAGGAGAGGAAUGACCAUGUUGUUUGGUAAUUUAAAUGAAGCAGAAAUCAGCAAAAUAUAGGUGCAAACACUUGGACUUGGAGUAUCCAAAACAUUUCACAGUAACAUUUCCAUUAUAUUUUUUAGUAAUUGAGCAUUACUAAACACAGGAAAACAAUAUAAAGUAAAUCAGAAAUACUAACCCUCAUCCGUUUCAUGCUCCUGAGCUCCUCAGGUCCGAAUCGCUGUGCAUCCUCCUGCGUGAAAACAUCAAGAAAGAUGGUAAGAGAUAGAUAAGUCAUUACACAUUUAUACCAACAUAAGACGAGCAUUUUCAUUACGAUGCACCUUCUGGUCUCCAUGCCAGGAGCAAAAAACAAGCAUCAUACAGAUCAAGAGAUAUAUUACUAAAAAAUACUCAGAUUUACCUCUUUCUGCUGUGCACUGUGUUUGCCACAGUAUGCUUUGUGCUGUGAUGUAGUACCAAACCCUUUUGUGUUCAUGUUAGCCGUUGACGCAAUCGUGUGGCCGUCGCGGCUCGUCCUUGGCCAGCAAUAGAGGCGGAGCAGCAGUUGCGGCACAGCAAAAGCGUUGCAGCAGCAGGGGAGCAAGGGCAGCAGUAGAGUCGGAGCAACGGCGGCGGCACAUAGAAAAAGGGGACACAGAUCAAAUGCAGUGGCCACUGCCACUACAAGAUAACACUGCACGCAAUCUCAGCCGUCCGAUCUCCCCGCGAACAGUCCAGAUCUGACGCUACAUUGCUUAUCUUGCAGUGGCAGUGUGCUACAGUGAUCCGUCUCACACCUGCCCAUUGCUUAUCUUGCAGUGGCAAUGGUCACAGCACCGGAUCCAUAUCCAUAGAAAAGACAAGGGAAAGAAGGGAACGGAUAAGGUCAAACAAGAAUGAAUGGCUAGAAAAGAAAAAAUAGAGGAAAAAAGAAAGAAGAAAAAGACGUGUAAUCCCAUCGUAAAAUACCAGGGAUCCUAGAGGUUUUAAAAUAUAUUAGCAGUGUUGGGGGAAAUAUUAACGAUCUCCUAAUGACCAUUAAAAUAACAAUCAUGAAGGCUCAGGCCCACCUGCGGCAAUGGCGGCCGCCGUUGGCCCAACAUGGGAGGGAAGCGCCCCGCUCCGCCUCGCCCGACCCAGUGUCCCGGGGUCGGACGCUCCCGACCCCUCGAUGACCAGACUCCGCCUCGCCCGACCUCUCGUCGCAAGACUCCGCCUUGCCCGACCCAGGGCGCAGGGGGUCGGACUCAUCCAAGCCCACAAGACAAGUAUCCGCCUCGGGCGCAGACUGGAAGAUAAGAGUGCGGAUCUCGUGGGCCCCCCUGCCGAUCUUGCCAUAAAUGCGCCGCGGCUCUGGUGCGCAGAAAGGCGCCCGCGCCCCCGACGUGACCCGCCACAAGUACCCAUGCAUGACCGCACAGCACAGGCUACAGUGGUCGCGGCUCUCCCUGAUUCGCUGCAGGACACUCAUGGCCUGUGUCGCUCGGCACAAGAAGAAGCCCCGCCCGUUCUCGCGCCCCGCGCGUCCGACGACAGGGAUGCGACGUCCGUGUCCCACGGGCCAUCAGCAAGAUAACAGGAUUAGCCGUCUCCCCCCGACGUGCACAGUCACCACGACCGAACACCAUGAUCAUGUUUGGCGGCAACAGUCACCGGGGAGAUCGUCGACAGGACCGAGGGCGGCUGCCCUUCCCCGACGGACACGCUGACAGGAUCUGAGGGCCGGAGCAGGAGAUGGCGGCCCUGGAACUUGAUCCUUCUCCUUGUAUUUUACUUUACUUAACUUGUCUCUUUUACUUCUCCUCACACCCAGUCUCACCUAUAACCCCGGUGUCCUCCUUGCGCUAUAAAAGGAGAACCGGGGGCCCUAAGAUAGGGGACUCGCUCAAGCGAAGAGAACAUACACACUCACCAUUAGAGCAUCAGUGCACACCCAAGAGACUUGGCACCAGCUCCCUCUCUCGCCCUCCUGUAACCCCUACUACAGACAUCGCGUGGGCAACACGAGCAGCUCCUCAUACUGGACGUAGGGUUUUCCCUUGUUCGAACCAGUCUAAACCCCGUGUCUCCCAUGCCACCAUCCAAAGCCUUACGCGCAUAAAAGAAAUUUACUAGUCUUAGUCUUGAUCCGCUAAUCUUGACAACGACAAGCAGGAGUAGCAAAAGAUGCAUGCACCCCUGAAUUAAUAGUAGUUGCAGAUAAUAAGGAAUUUAGUUUUAGCCACCUUAUCUUGUUAAUUAUAGAAAGAAAGAAAUGAGUAAUCAUUCAAAUAUACUUACAAUGCCUUGUAUUCAAGAACAAAUUUCGAAAGAUUGAAUGUUUUGUAUUAUAAGACGGAGGGAGUAAAAAAGAGAGAAGGAUUGGAUUGGAUAAUAAGUAAUAAAGGAAAGGGAUAAGAAAAGAGAAAAACAAAAGGAGGGGAUAAGAAGGAAAAAGAAAAAAAAUGGUAAAGGUAUUAUUCUCUACUAUAUUAAAAACUAAAGAGGACAUAAAAAAGCGGUCCGUCGUUUGCCCACGCGCUCGAUGUCCCUCGCUUCGGUGUUUUUCGUCCGUCGGUUCCGCGUCGUCCGCUCAGGAGCCGUUCAAUCGGCGCUUCCGUGAAUUGAGGCGCGCGGCCCUUCUCUUUCGUCCGUUUCCCUCCGUGCGGAACACUCCGUCCCUAGAUCCUUCUCCCUGCGUGCCAUCUGCCGCCGCCACUUCCCCUCCUUGCGUCCUUUCCUGCGUGCCACUGACGGCGGCGCCACUUCUCCCUGCGUGCCAUUGACGGCGGCGCCUAGGGUUCGAGCGGGCUCUGUGGCGCUUGGGCUUCGACGCUGGCGGCCCCCUCCCACUCCGGCGGCGCCCCUCUACACGAGCAUCCGUGGUCCUUUUCUUUCCCCUCCGGAUCCGCUCCUCCCUGGCCGGCGCAAGCAGAAGGCUCUGGCGGCACGAUUGGUGGCCGCCGGCGGCUCUCCCAGGCUUCGUCGCCAGUGCAGGACGGCCCCUCUACAAGAGCAUCCACGAUCCUCUUCUUCCCCUCUCCGGACCUGCUCCUCCCUGGCCGGCGCAAGCAGAAGACUCCGGCGGCGCGACUGGUGGCCGCUAGUUCCUCACCCGGGCUUCGUCGCUCCGGACGUUUUGGUCCGCACCCCCGCACCAAUCUAGAUCACCAACCAUGGUAUUCGGAGCUCUCAUCGCGUCAAGGAUGGCCAGGUCCAGCCGCACCCUCGCCUCUGCCGUUGCCUAGGUCCGCGCCACCUCUGUUCCCCUACACCUGAUAGUGCUUCUCAGUCAAUGCCCAGUUCCAAUCUAUCCAAGAUUCUCGCAAUUUUUGGUGCUGUGCAUUCGUUUGAUGAUGGUUUGGGUUCAUCUGUUGUGCUUAUUUGUUCUGCUUGCAAUCUGAUUAGGGUGAACGGUGCCUCCUCUGUUGUCCAGGCUUGGAGCUGUAGCUUGUGCUUAGGUAAUUAGGAGUUGGGGUUGUCAUAUCAUCAACCAUUCUGCAUCCAUGACAAGGUUCUUCGCUUUUUGGAUGUUAAUGUGUGUGUUCUGUGCUUCUGUGUGCAGCACAAAGCUGCUGGCGGCGGCAGCACAAAGCAGUUAGUUUCCACUUGUACUUAGUAGAGAUAAUUGAUAUUCAAUUAGGUAUUGGAGCCUCAAGUAUGCUUGCUGUGCCAGGAAAAAUUGCAAAAGUUGUCAAUUUACCUAAAACUUUCUGUCACCUUGCAGAGGCAGAUUGUUCUGGAACAGAGAGUAAUAGAUGCUGCUAGCUUAAAGAUACAGGUAAUUUUAGUUAAUUGGUCGUUGAUUAACUGUCAUGUGGUAUAGCUCAAAGAUUCUCUUUGUUCCUCUGAGAAGAAAGUGGCAGAGCAUUCAGGUAGAGCUGUACAUCUGGAGCCAUCUACCUCGGCCACUGUAAGCUUUUGCUCACAGGUAUUUGCUAUCAGCUGUAGACUUUAUUUUCAAACUAAUUACGAUCCUUAGUUUAAGCAUCCAUUCUACUAUCAUAUAAACAAAAAUAGUAAACAAAUAUAUCUUACCCCCUUACCUUAGAAUCAGGUUUGCAUCUCAACCAUAGAUAACAAAAAUAAUAAACAAAUAUAACUUGCCCCCUCUACCUUAGAAUCAGGUUUGCAUCUCAACUGCAGAUCUAUCAUUCGCUAAUGAGGGAGUUAAAACAGAGGAAAGUCCCCUCCUUAGUUUUUAAACUCAUGGUCACUGGGCAGCUUAAACUUAGAAAACCGGAAUGCUUGUGUGAUUUCCUUGCGUUAGUGAAAUGGCAGGCGAACUGGUAUUUAGGAAAAUACAUGUCAUGUAAAACCUGUCCUCAAGCACUAUACACAACAUCUGUACCCGUGCACUCUCAAGAAGCUCUGGUAUCUAGACUCUGACAACUACCACUUAUAUCCAAUCCAAGCCCUCAAUUACCAUGAUACUAUGUUGUAUUGCUACAGAAUAUAGCAAUUUUAGAUGAAGAACUCUUCUCUACUACAUACUGAUGCUCCAUGAAACAAACACACCUGCUUAUAUUUGGGAGGUGUUAUAUAUCAGAACCCUGGAGAAAAUGAUUAAUUCCAGGUGACUGAUAUCCACCGCAUGAUUAUGAUCCAUUGGUAAAUAUACCUUCCUCCUCCUCUUGACAGGCCAUCUCUUUGCGCGUGUCCGACAGUAACUGCUGCAAGGCCAAUCAACCCACCCUGCUAACAUCAAUGCGACAGAGAACUCAACAAAUCUGACCCUGUCAACACCGGAAGCAUAAAAAUCAUAACAUAACUCAAGGUAUUUCCAAUACUAACUAUUCAAGGUAUUUUGCAAUUGAAUUUGUGAAGCAUAGUUAUGUACGUUUAUGGUCAUUUAUCCAUAAAAGACAGCAACCAGAAACUUCCAGACCACAUCAUCUCUUUCCGGGGAAAUUGCAACAAAUUUUCAUGUCAUGAAGGUUGCUGAGUGAAAUCAUACAUGGUUAUCGGCUGCCCGGUCAUAUUGCUUAGGAAUAUCGACCCUGCGAAUGGGCUGUGCAAUGGUACAAGGUUGGUGGUUCGAGGCUUCCAAAAAAAAUUCAAUCGAUGCUGAAAUUGUGCUGGGACAGCAUGCCGGAAAGAGGGUUUUCCUUCCUCGAAUACCGUUGUGCCCCUCUGACGAUGAGAUGUUCCCAUUCCAAUUUAAGAGGAAGCAGUUCCCUAUUAGGCUCAGCUUCGCCAUGACGGUCAACAAGUCAUAGGGCCAAACUAUACCAAAUGUGGGUGUGUACCUACCCGCUCCUGUGUCUCUCAUGGUCAGUUGUAUGUUGCUAUGUCUAGAGCCACAGCCAGAACGAAUAUCAAGAUCCUCGCCCUCCCACCAAACGCAGAGGCAGACGAGGAACAGACUAAAAAGAAGAAAAAGAAAACUACUAAUAAGAAAGUGAACGGUCAGGGUAAUCAAAAUAAUAAUGAACAAAAAGGUAGUUCAGAGAAGAAGAAAAGGGUACCAACAGUAGAUGGCACGUAUACGAAGAAUAUUGUAUACAAGGAGGUUCUAACACCUUAGGCGAGGUAAGAUAAUAAUUAUUUGUGCGUGUCUUACACUUUUCAUUUAUUUUUUUUAAAAUACUUAACUCAUCAAUUUCAUGUUUCUUUGGUCUUGGCAGUUGCUAGACUUGAGUGGCAUUUUCACUGUGUUUUUUUGUGGUAUUGUGAUGUCACACUACACUUGGCAUAAUGUGACAAAGAGCUCAAGAGUGACAACCAAGUAAUCAUACUCACUCCAUAAUUUAUUCCACCAGUAAUGUUCAUAGCAAGUUAAAUAAAAAGAUACCAAUUGAUUUUCUUUGGACUUUUUUUUAUCUACUCAGGCAUGCCUUUGCAACUUUGUCCUUCAUUGCUGAGAUGUUCCUUUUCAUGUAUGUUGGUAUGGAUGCGUUUGAUAUCGAAAAGAGGGAGUUUGCCAGUAACAGGUCAGUUUAAUGCACUUUCUAAAACUUUCUGGUCCGCAACUUGUUCAGGUACUUUUAUGUUAAGAGAUGUUGAUAGCAAUUCCAGGAUUAUCUUGCAUUUUAAAUUUGAAUGCACUCAAAUAUCAUAUCGAUUCUCUACUCAAAUCAUUUUAACACUUCAUUUUUGCGUGAUGGAAGAGUUACAGUUGGUCCUGAUAAAGUAAUAAACAACUUAUUUACUUAAUUCUGCUGUGUGAAAACUUUGAUUUCCACUGCAAACUCUGCAAUGUUUUUGGGUUUAAUGAUGAUAUUUUGGGUAUUGCAUUAGAUCAGGAUAUGUUUUGGAUCCAUUAUUUGCCUCAUAAUGGUUAACCGUGUUGUGUGAAAUGUUGCUGGUCCAAACAGCAAGCACCAGUAAAUAACAAUAUUUUUGUGAACUGUUGCAGAUGUUCAUCGGUGAUGGAGCCAAGCUUGUUCGAGAUGCUUUUCAGCUGGCCAAGGAGAAAACCCUCUGCAUCAUAUUUUAUUGAUGAAAUUGAUGCUAUUGGAACAAAGCGUUUUUCAUCUAUCUUCUGGCGCAAGAAGCGAAUGCUUGUAGGACAAGACUACCAAGCAUUGUAAAAUAUUUUCUUUGGUGCAUCACAUGCAAAAAAAAUAGGAUAGAUGUGGCAUUUGGAUGACCUGUUUUAUAUUUAUUUCACGAAUUCAAUCUUAGAUGAUAUACUUAUUUCAUAUUUAUACAUGUUUUAUACUUUUAUUAUCCUGUUGAAUCCAAUAUUUUGCAAUAUAAAAAUUUUGUUGCCCGUAGCAACGCACGGGCACGAUCCUAGUAGUAUAUAACAAUCUAAUUACUGGGUAAUAUAUAAUUCAUACAAAACUUAAAAUUUUGGUUAAUCUAAUUUCUAUUCAUUAUUUUUUUAAAAACUUCAUAUGACAGAUCACAUUAUAAUUGAAGACGAAUAUAAACUCAUGUGUACAUCUAAAGGCAUAUAGAACAUUUGUAUAUAGCUGGCUGGAUUCGCUCCUUCUUUCAUUACUAGCCCGUUAACCUAACUAAAUCAAGACAUAUCCUGAUAAAAAAACAGAUCAAGACACCGUAGGUCCUUUGUCUUUUAUUUCAUCGAUGCUAUCUCUUGCAUUUGUGCUUUUGGAUCAUUUUUCUUUCACCUUUUUCUUUCUUUUUCGCUUUCUUUUUUCAAUGGGAGGAGAUAGGCAGAACCGAUGGCCCAAGAACACAGCAAGAAGGCCGUUUUCCAUCCAGACGAAAAGAAAAGAGGAACCGACGGCCCACUAGCUUUCCAUCCAACUAAAAGGCCCAAGACAAGUCCUCCGGCUGCAAACUGCUAUUCUGCAACCCUCCGCGCACCUAGCCGCCGCCAUCGCCGCCAUGGAGGACGACAAGACGCCACCGCAGCCGCAGCCCGAAGUCGUCGGCGAGAAGCGAAAGAGGGAGGAGGGUUCGCCGGACGCGGCUACCGAAGACGCGCCACCUGCCUCCGCUGCCUUCGGUGAGGAUGCGGCCAGCAGCGGCCGGCACCCGAUGUGGAAGACGAGCCUCUGCUCCUACUUUCGCCGCCGCGGCGCCGGCGCCGAAGGGUGCAGCCACGGGGAGUCCUGCCGCUACGCGCACACGGAGGAGGAGCUCCGCCCGCGGCCCGACGGCACCUGGGACCCCACCUCCGACCGCGCCAAGAAGCUCCGCAAGGUCGCCGCGGAGGCCCAGGAGGAGACCGAGGAGGAGGUCACGGUGGAUGAACAAUCGCUCGACAAGUGCCUCGUCGGGCUUCCCAGGGGGUGGACGGCUGAUAGGCUCAAGGGCUUCCUUCAAGACCAGGCAAGUAGAUGAUGGUUUUACAGUGUACCAUAGAAGUCGAACUAACACAUAUGGAGUGUAGUCCUUUUCCUUCGAAGAAAUUAGGGUAUGACUUUGCAUUUAUCAAACCUGCUUUUUUAUGCCAACUCCACCAAUCGAAAUUUUAUGAUUCAAAUGAUGGUGCUGCAGGGAAUCUCCUACGCGACAGCAAAGAAGAAGAAGGGAAUGACAGUUGGUUUUGUGACUUUCGAAAGUGUCGAACAACUAACAAAUGCAGUUCAGGUAAUUAUCUGUCUGUUCAUACAGGGAACUUGGGUGUUGUAGAAAGUAUAAGCUUGACCUUUUCCUCUCGAUUUGAUUAGGUCCUCAAGGAGAACCCUUCUGGUGGAAAAGAAAUAAAGAUAGCAGAUGCUAAUCGUAGGUCUCAUCAAAAAGUGCACGCUGAAGGGCCUGCAUCGGAUAAUGGAACUGCAACAGAAAAUGGUAGUAAUGCUGCUGCUACCGCUGGGGAAGCAUCUGCAGCUGAAGCGGUUGCAUCAAAUAAAAAAAGUGCCCGUGAUGCUGUUACUCCCCUUGCCCAUAUGUCUUACAAUGAUCAGCUAGAACACAAAAAACAUUCAAUGGCGCAGAUACUGAAGAGACUUGUAAGAACAAUUUCAGGUCCUUGUGCUGUUUUAGACAGUGCUUAACUAUGUUUCUGCAGAAAUUGCUAACCGGUUUUCUUAUUGUCUUCUAUUGCAGACUCGCAAUGCUAGAAAAGCUUGCCCGCCUGCCAUUCCCCUUCCUAAUUGGAUUUUUAAAUCAAAGGAAAUUGGUAAUGUCCUAACCUUAUUGUGUUGCAUUUUCACAUUUUAUUCUCAGUAAUUGUGGUAACCUCUAGUAACAGACAGCGAUUGAGUUGAUCUAGCUCCCAUCAUGAUCGUAUAGUUUAUGUUCCCUUUGUGUUUCAAGGAAAUGUCUAUACUAGUACUGUAUCUUUUAUCUUACACAACUAUAUGGAUAAAGAUGGUUUUACAGCAUAUUUUUUUGAUUUGGCGGAAUGUCAGAAACAUAAUGCAUAUCUGGGCAAUCCAUCUGGGAUUGUGAGUAAACUGAUACAAUCUCCAUCCUUGGAAGAGUUAAAUAUAGUAUUAAUGGGCAUGCGUUCUAGUGCUUACUUAAUAUUACCCAUAAGUUAAUGCAAAUUUCUAGUUAAUAUAGACAGUAUUAACCAUCAGUUACAUAUAUUAUAUGUAUGUGCUGAGGGAACAUCUUCUUGUCCACCAUGUUGUUUGUUUAUUGUAUUUUGCAUUAUCCUAUGAUGAUUAGCCCAUCUGAAUGUUGAGCGCUCUUCCACUGAAGCAUUGCUUCUAUAUUAUAAACUUCCAUGAUCCUAUCUCAGCUGAAGACUAACUCUCAUAGUUCCACCCAAGCAUUACUUCUAUCUUCAAUGCUUCCAUAAUUCAUAUCAAUAGCAGACAAACUGUUAGAAUCUCCAGGAAAAUACAUGUAAGAUGCAGUGCUUGAGUAUAAAACAUGUGGCAGCCAUGCCUUUCUUUUGGUGAAAAGUGGACAUUAGUGGCAUGCGAUCUAACUCUUCAUUAAAACAAACAAAACUAAUACACUUCGCUUACUUGAAACAUGCAUAAAUUGGUUUUUGACCAGUAUCUGUGAUGCUUGGCAAUUAAUCUCAAAUAUCCGGAACAUGCACUUCUCAUUGUUCUGACUUAUGAACAUGGGGGUAAGCAAGAUUGUUUUUUCAGCUCAGCAGGAUGCAUUUAUUGUGGUCAUUGCAAUGACCUUUAGUGCUUCGAUUCUUGGAAAUGGCCUCUUGUUCUCUCUUUUUUCCCCCCUAUGGAACAGGAAGGAGUUCUGUGUAUCAUUGCAUUAGGGGAAAUGCUAUCUACCUUUUUAUGGUAUGUAGUAAUGAUCUGUGCAAUUUCCCAGGUGGUCUUCCUUGCAAGCUUGAAGGCAUUUUGGAGUCCCCCAUUGUUGAUGGAUACCGUAACAAGUGCGAGUUCUCUGUAGGAUAUUCCUUGGAGGGCAAAAAGACAGUAGGAUUUAUGCUUGGGAAUUUCAGGUUGGCUUAUUUCUUUACCUUUUUCUUCACUGCUCUUAAUUCCAGUAAUAAUGACUGGUACAACAUGAUUCUAGGGAAGGCGUGACUGCUGUUGAGGAACCUGUGAACUGCCCAAAUGUCUCAGAAAUUUCCUGUAAAUAUGCUCAGAUCUUCCAAGAUUUUCUGCAGUCAUCAAGCUUGCCUUUGUGGAGCCGAGUUGAUAAUUGUGGGUUUUGGCGCCAACUCACAGUAUGCUCUCUCAACUUUUAAAUCCUCAGUGUGAUGCUUCUGUUUUAUAAUUAACACUUUGCACUGGGAUUUUAUUAGGUUCGUGAGGGAAGGUAUCCAGCGGAAGCUGUUGUUUUACAGAAUGUGGAAUCAAAAAUAUCAGAAGUCAUGCUUAUUGUGCAGGUUGUUUGGAGCAAAAAUGCACUUAUAGUAUCACUCCAGUGGUUAUAAAGUUUCCUAGUGGCUGACCAAUGACACUCAUCAAACUGCAUCUAUACUUUCAGGUGUGCUCAACAGAUGUCGAUGAGGCUCUAAUGAAAGAAGAGUUUGACAAGCUGUCCGCUGCCCUGAUAGAAGGAGCAGCAAUGUGCUCACCUUCCUUGCCACUAACAACUAUUGUAGUUCAAGUAAUGUUUUCCCAGCUUAUUCAGAACUAUGAUUUAUGUGCAUGUUUCCUUUCGUAUGUUCUACGCAAUUUGGAUAGGCUUCCCUUUUUUAACUUUAUUUCUUUUACUAUUUUGCUUGUAAAGUAAUUGUAUGCUGUUUAGCAAAAGCUACACUUUGUUGCGGUGGUCUGAAAUCUUGCUUAACAUUUUGCUGAGAGUACUUAAGAAUGCUACUAAUUUAUAUGGUUCUGCCUAACACUGCGCCUAUUAUUCAUUUGUUUUAGAGGCUGUUUGGUUCAUGUUAAUCUAGCAAUAAGAUUUAUAGAAAAAUAGGAUUUAGCAGAAAAAGAUUUAGCAAUAAGAUUUUUAGAAAAUAGUUUUUUAUGAUUUUUCAGGGAAAAUGAUUUUAAAUUUGUUAUUUGGUUGGAUAAGUUUACAUUCUGUUUGGAUGAGUUGUUCAACAGUAUAAAAAAUCUAGAUUGGAAACUGAUUUCAUGAGAAACAAGGGUUGGUAUGUCAUAAAACUCAUGAUAUGAGUGUUGGCAAAAAAAUGAUGUUUCUUUUUAUCUAGGUUUUAUCUUUCCUAACCAAAUCAGAUUUUAGGUUGUUAGGCCCUAAAAUUGAGUUUAGCGAAAUGUUCUUUUGAUAAAAGAUGAGAUCAAACAAUCUCUUGGGGAUGCUACUUGCAGUUUAUGUUAAUAAGUUGACCGUCUUUUUUCUUGAAAUAUUUGAAGAAUAAUGAGACCUACUUAUGCAUGCAGGAUCAUAAAGGAAUAUCAAAUGCUGCACCUGCUGAUUGCCCGCUGAUCCCACUAUUGGUGCCAAAGGGAGAUCAAUUGGGUGGCGGAGCAGAAGAUAAAACAAGAAUCCAUGAUCACAUCAGCAAUUUAAAGUUCUCCAUAUCACCGACAGCUUUUUUCCAGGUCUGUUGGUGAAAUAGCAAGUUACUUCGCCAAUCUUUUUCUAUGGUUAAAUAUAGUAAUGACAUAGUACUAUGCAGGUUAAUACUCUUGCUGCAGAAAGAUUGUAUAGCCUUGCUGGUGAUUGGGCUAACCUCAAUUCGGACACGUUACUUUUUGACGUAUGUUGUGGGACUGGAACUAUUGGUCUGACCUUAGCACAUCGUGUUGGAAUGGUGAUUUCUUUUGCCAAUUCAUAUGUUUUUAAGUGUUUGUCAUGUAAUAUAACACAUGGGCCAGAUCUGAGCUCUUAUUAACUUAUGUAGCUUAUUAGAGGAAUCUGUUUUCUUUGGAAUAAUCUUUUCAAAUCUAGUUACUAAUUGUGGCAGGUUGUUGGGAUUGAAAUGAAUGAAUCGGCAGUUUCAGAUGCUCACAGAAAUGCUCUUAUUAACGACAUAAAAAAUUGCCGAUUUGUCUGUGGGAAGGUGAGGCUCAUAUCCCGUACAUGAAAUUACAGAACUUCUCUCAUUUUAAACUACCAUCAUUCUGUUCAGUUCCACUGACCUUUGCUGAAAUAAUCUCAUUUGAGUUCAUAUGUUGGGAUUAAAUAGGCCGAAGAUGUGAUCGGGUCCCUUCUCACAGAAUAUCUUGGUUCACCACAGCAACACAUUGCAGCUUCUGAAAGUAAUUCCAUAAUCAAUGAUACAAGAGAAAAUGAAGAUACAGUUGAUUGCCUAGAAAGCAAUGGUGAAAAUAUGGACAGUUCAACAGAGACAAACAACAAUGGUGAAAGUGAGCAGCCUGGAGACAUGUCAGUUGAUCUUCCCACUUGUGCUGGUGAUGAGGAAAUAAAGGAAGAUUCAAUGGAUAGGGUUAACAAAGAGGUUGAUUCCAGUCAUAAUGAACACAAUGAGGCUGCUGGUGAACAAAAAUGUGGGGAAGCAUCAUUGAUCAAUGAUGAGUGCACUGAUACAACAUUAUCUGAUAGUUUGGAGCCUGGCAGUGGCAAGACAUGCCAGGAUAGUUCUAUUCCAAACAAAAAUGUGCUUGAUUCUAGUGCAUGCAAGUUCAAAAACGUUGUUGCAAUUGUGGACCCCCCACGUGUUGGCCUUCACCCUACUGUAAGUAAAUUUCAACCUUUUGCUGAAAGUCAAUUUCAAAAAAAAAAACCUUUUGCUGAAAGGAUUGUGAUGUUAAUUACUGAAAAAUCUACAUGUUUUUUCCACUGCACAUUCAAAGGCCUGGCUAUCUUAGUGUAUUCCUCCAUAUGCCUUGAAAUUAUUCCUUAAUAAAUCUAAUAAUAGGUCUUGUUAUUUCUCAAAUAUUUUCGUGUUAAUACCUAGCAACUACUAGCUGAUAAAUUUGGAUAGUGAUUGUAUUUGUGUUAUAUAAUUAUGUUUAUUAUACUCACAUCCUGAGCAUCAUUAUAGGUGAUCAAGGCAUUGAGGACUCAUCCACUCAUUCGACGCCUAGUGUAAGUAUUCCUCGUACCAUCUUAUUGAAUAUACAACCGGGUCUGAAAUUCACAGCUUUUCUUCUUUUCUUUAAUUGCAGGUACAUUUCCUGCAAUCCAGAUAGCCUAGUUGCCAAUGCGAUUGAGCUGUGCACCCCAACAUCUGAGAAACAAGAAAAGAACAAAGGCAAUCGAGGGUGGCGAUCUAUGAGUGCUGCUGGUCUUGCUAGGCAGCGGACGAAGUCCAUGCCCAACUCUGAGCCUUUUAUACCCAAGAGGGCGAUGGCCGUGGAUCUGUUUCCUCACACCUCGCACUGUGAGAUGGUUAUGCUUUUUGAGAGGUGAAGGAAUGAAUUGUCUAUCCAUGCAAGGCAGCAUGCCUCAAUUUCUUGUUAGACAUUUUAACCAUGCUGUCGAGGACCACAUCAGUUUUCCUCAGCUUGGUCCUCAUGUUGUAACAUUCUUAGUAACAUCUAUUUGAUUUAGAAGGCAUGGCAUUUGAUGGUUACUGUUUGAGAUCUGCAUUACUUUGAUAGGAUCGGCUACUUCAGAUUCGUUACACAUUUUGUUUCCCUGUUAAAUGGAAGCCACAGGAUUUAAUUUAAGCACCAAAAUGUACCUGCCUCAGCUUUUCUAUGGAUGGUCCAACCUGGAGUGGCAUCCUUUUUCUUUUAGAGGACCAGGAGUGGCAUCCUAGUCAGGGAAAACCGUACAUAAGUACUGGGCCUAUUGUUGGCCCAAUUCCAACUGUGAUUGCACUUAUCUUUUUGUUCAUUGUUCUACCAGUGGGUCUGUUCCUUUUUAUUUGAUCUGACAGGAUUUGAAAGAGAACGACAUGUUCCUACCGAAAUUGCAUCAUCCUAAAUCAUGCCGUCUCAUUUCGAGUAUGACGUGUUAACAAUAGGGUAUUUGACAAUACUAGACCCUUUCAUAUUGGUUCCUAGGAUUAAAUUUCAAUGCCAUUAAGGGAAAAAAAUAUUACCUGUUCUCUUUUCCCGCUACAGUUAAGAGAGGCGAACCGGAGGCGAGCGCUGUUCCGGCGCCAAUCCCUCCGGUUCCCCCUCUUCUCCGGUGGCCGCGUCCGUGCCGGAGAGGGAGGGGAACUGGGGAUUUGGUUGUCCGACUGUAUAGCUCCUAGUCUAGCCUAGAUUUAGAUAGAGUAGCUUAGGGUUUCUGGGAUGUCACCGGCGACCAUGUCUUGCGGACUUGUCUUCCCCAGCGGUGGCAAUGGCGACGGCACUGCUUUGGGUCAAGAUUCAAGGAGGAGGUUUGUGCUUUGGGUCAAGAUUCCGGGUUGGCGAGUUUGUCGGCGGCAGUGGAUUUGCUUUGGGUUGGUUUCCGAUUGGGCUGCUUUGGUGCUCCAUGGCGGCCUGAUGUGAACGGUUCGGUUUCUGUGGUGCUGUUGGUCUCUUCGAAAGUGUCAGAACUGUGUUCCAGAAAGUGUCAGAACUGUGUUCUGGAACACAGGAGGUGGAGAGAAGGGGUUGUUAGAUUGGGAAGCUUGACGGCCGAUGUUCGUUUACUGAGGACUUCUUGCGGCUUAUACCUUUGUGUGUCGGCUUCUUGGUCUGGAUGCGAGGUAACGACGGCGGUGGUGUGUUAUGGAGUGCAGCGAUGCAGUUCGAGGACCGAGCAACAUAAGAAGAAGGGCUUCGUUGUAAUUUCUCAAUUACCUAGGGGCCCUUUUGGAAAAAGGGAUGCACUUGUACUUGUUUCUGUUCUCUUUUAACAUGAUGUUAUCCCUUCUCGCAAAAAAAAAAAGGAAAACAAUAUUAAACCAAAGUUCAAAGGUUUAUUAGAGAUGAGGUAUUUUGUCAGGAAGAUUAAGCAAAUGUGAGUGCUUGAAUUUAAAUCGAACAGGAGACAAUGGAGAAAUCACUAUGGUACUGUAGAUGAGAUCGCUGUCUGUUGCAAAUCUUGUCUUUUGGAAACUCGGUGUUCUCAGUGAUUGGCCAGAUCUCCUUUAAUAGGGCCCAGCCAUCACAAAACUAAGCAAAUAUCUAAUGCAUGAUGUGAUCCUGAUGGUAGGAUUUAUGGUGCCCAAAAGUAAAGCAGAAUACAAAAGAAAGGCCUAGUUCACCUCCAAAUCCUAACUUUGACACUAUGCAAAAAGAAGAUUCCCCAUCACAUCAAACUUGCAGUACAUGCAUGGAGUACUAAAUGUAGACAAAAUUAAAAAACUAAUUGCACAGUUUUGUUGUACUUUGCGAGACGAAGCUUUUGAGCCUAAUUAGUUAAUAUUUGGACAAUAAUUCACAAAUACAAGCGAAAUGCUACAGUGUUGCUACAGUAAUUUUGACACCCCGAAGUUGGGCAGCUAAACAAGGCCAAAGUAUCAAAAGGAAAAAAGAUAAAGAAAAAAGAAAAAAAAUGAUUCCCAGAGAUUGAGUCGCAGUAGGUCCAGCAUGAGGCAUCACAUUCAUGUCUGCAAUGCCUUCAUUGAUGGUAGCAGCAGAGUCGCGGGCAGGCAUGAGAUUUAGGUGGCCAGCAUGCAAUAAUUCAUUAUUUCAUUUAUUAUAUAAGGACAUCUCCGUUGGCUGAGAAUUUGAGACCAGGUUUCUUGCUGCAUAAAUUCUGAGCUAACAACCGCUUGACUGCCGGUGGGGGUUGUUAUUUCACCACUGCUGCUGCUUCUGCUUCUGCUUGGCAUGAAAUGAACCACACCGACGGCAUGUGCAACCGUACCUGCAAAGUCAAACCCUCAAUUUUGCUUUUAGAAUUGGAAGUAGCAGAAGGUCAGAAAGCCUGUUUGUGACAGGGGAUACUAAAACAUACUCCUCUCUGUUUUAUUUUCCAACAUUCAUGGGCUUAUACAAAUAUGGAAACACUCUUGCAUGCAUGAAUCAUGGACACUAGCAUUCGAACGUUAUAGCGGCAGCGAUACCUUACCGCUACCGCUACAAGGUAGCGGGUUUAAGAUAACAUGUUUGGACUUAGCGGUCACUAUUAUCCACUAUUGCGGCUACUAUUGCUCAUUUUAGGCCGCUAUGCGCUAUAUUAUGGUGCAAGUGACAUAUUAAUAUGAAUCAAAUGGUAAUAAUAAUAUUUAAAAUGAUUAUUUAGGUAAUGACUAAGAAUUAUGGAUGACAAAUAAAUUUUUUAUUCAUUGAUACUAGAAUUCUGAGCAAACAACCGCUUGACUGCCGGUGGGGGUUGUUAUUUCAUCACUGUUUCUGCUUCUGCUUGGCAUGAAACGAACCAUACCGACGGCAUGUGCAACUGUACCUGCAAAGUCAAACCCUUAUAGUAGCAGAAGGUCAGGAGGCCUGUUUGUGACAUGGGAUACUAAAGCAUAAGAAUUCCUCCUUUUCUUUUCUCCGAUUACAAGUCGCGGGCAGGCAUGAAAUCAUUCUCCCCCGUGUGGUUUGUGCAAAAAUCAUAAAUGUUCAUUAAGGUUUUGAUUUCUACUAGUAGGGUUCCAUUUGUCCACAUCUCAAAAUUUCCCCAGGGCAUGCAGCAAGAACCACAUAUUUUCCCAGAUGGGCGGCUGGUUGUGAUCAUCUUGCUAAUGCUUUGUUUGUGAAUAGUGUUUGCUAAUCUUCACAUGCGCAAGCAGAUUAAUUAGCGCCAGCAGUGAUGUCAAGCAAAGUUGGUCUGACUAGAAGUGCACUUUUUCUUUAAAACCCUACAUGCAUGUGGCUGCUGAUUAGCACUUUGUUCUGAAUAAUGUCAUCUCCAUAUCCAUGGGACGUGAUCCUCCUCAUCCAAUGGUUGCCGCCGUCUUAACGUUAACAAAUGCCCGCUCCUACGUGGCACGCAAUCUCUCGGGAGAUCAUUGCAGGACGUCAGGAUCCUACGUGUCAUCCCCAUGGGCCACAGCUGGAAACGGCCUCUCAUGAACCUCCAACCAAAUAUGCCUACCUACUCACUCACACGAGCCAUCCACCUGCCCAGGUAGAAACCCUUUGACAUUGUACAGAAUUGGGCUUUCAUAUAUAAAAUGAGAUCAUGGACAUGUGGCAGUUAGGUUUGACACCCGUCCCUUCUUGAUAUUGCCCCAUGCUCAAAACUAAACAUACAGGACAAACACUAACAUUUUACUCUAUUUUUUGGGCCACCAUCAAAGCUAUUAGCUACUGGCCUGGUUUUGAACUAUUGAUUUACUAACUCAGAGUGAGAAAUAGAGAUUGUAAAUUUACUUUAUUGUAGUACUAGUACUUUUUCUAAUAGAAUCAAAGCCAUACACUCUUUUCUCAGUGUCAAUUAUUGCUAACAUUUGCAAAUAUUUUUUGAAGCAAUGCAGACCAUUCAUUCUGAUUAUAUUGCAGAGGUAGGUGAAUUCAUAAAUGAAAGGUGUGAAUUGCUAAAAGAAUUUGCAGUUGAAUUGAUAAAGAUAAUUUGAGAGUGAAUCCUCAUCUUCUUGGCCAAAAUAUACAUCAAAGUGUUUUCCUUGAUUAUAAUUUGACUUGUACACCAAACGUGACCAGGAUUACUAUACANNNNNNNNNNNNNNNNNNNNNNNNNNNNNNNNNNNNNNNNNNNNNNNNNNNNNNNNNNNNNNNNNNNNNNNNNNNNNNNNNNNNNNNNNNNNNNNNNNNNUACAAGCUAAGCUAGAACUCCUGUACAUGCGCACCAAGUUAAAGCAGCAGUGCACCAAACUGCUAACCAUGGUGCAUGGUGGGUGUCCCAAUCCAUAUUAAAAAUUCUUUGGUUUGUACAGUACUAACCACUAACCACACCCCUCCAGCAGUAGGGCCAUAAAAGAACAUCAUUUUCAGAAAUCACCAUCCAUGUAAUAACUAAGUAGCAGAUAAAAGAGCAAAUGCAUGUUUCAUCAUGCAUGCUGUCGAUCUUUAAUUUACUCCCUGAUGACACAUCGAUUUUGCUACAGUAGAGAACGCGUUUUAUUUUUGUGGUGUUGUUCCCAUCAGAAUCCUUCUUUUGUCAAAGCGAAGUUGACCCAAGCUAGGGCUUAGAGAUUUGUACUAAUGCACAGUGAUCACCAAAAGCGUGACACUUACGGCCACCAAACAGCAUGUCCCCUCUACGCCUACCGGUGGACUCUUCUCAGAAACCGGCACAUAGCCCACUGACAUGCGGGUCUGGUGGCAUCGAUAGCGUUCCCUGGUCCCAUCAUUAACACUUGGCACAAUCCUCGGCAGCGUACGUAACGAAUUUCUCUGGUUCCUGAUUUUCUUAGAUAUUUCGGAGUGUUCAUUUCACGUCACGUGCAGGUAAAAGCAAUACAGGAGUGUGGUGGUAUUUAACUUGAUACCACUUGAGUAAAAAGGCUGCAGUGUUAAUUUUGCAAACAGGACGUCAAGCUACUCUGAUUCUAGAAACAGUUUGUGUAUUUAUGGAAUACUUAUUAGACUGCAGGCACUAAAGGAUUUUUUUUUCCUUUUCUUGGGUCUCAACACUGAGAUCUUUAGAAGUGAAUAAAAUGGAGAUAGAUAGAAAUUUGUAGUUUUGAUAACCUUCUUAAUGAUGAAAACUACAUAAACUCAUAGAUGCUUACAAGGACAACCACUUCUAUUUCUUUUAAGAAAAUGUUGAUGCCAUAUCUUUACGAAGAAAUUAAAAUAAAGCACCAUCUUGUGUACUGGUGGUGGAAAUUACAAAAUUAAAUAUACACUAGUUAAAUGGCCAUGUCGUUGUUAUGUGUACCGAAAACUUUUAUGAGAUAAUAUUUGUUUUAACUAAUGAUGCUUUAAAAAUAUCGAAAAUAACUCAACAUAGAGGUGACUUAAUUUUUGAAUAAGGAUAAUAAUAAUGUUCAAACCCGACUACUUCUCUACCAACAAUUAUUUAUCAAUAACUGCCGUACCAUUCAAGACUGCAUUUUAUGCCAUUCAUGUCAUAAUUAAACACACACUAGCUACUAGUCAUUACAAUGGAACUUAUUCUGAAAUUGUCUGAAAAAAGAAUUUGGAAGAUAAUAAUACCCGUAAAAAGAUUCACCCCAUGAUUAGCAGUGGGAAAAUUGAAGCAGCAAAUAAAGGAGCUGGUGGGUUUCCCUUUCCACGCGGGGUCCAGCCCUUGCAAGCAACUAGGUGAAACCGAGGAACGUCGCUGCUGCGGUUGGCUUUCCCUCUCCGCGUCCUCCUCCUCCGCAGCAGCACUGGCCACCUCAUGCUGUCGCCUCCACUCUCUUCUCCACCACACCACACCACUCACUGGUCAAUUCUCUCGCCGCGCUCCGAUCCCCUCCCACCCCACCCCUAUUUAUGAUGGCUGAUCGUCGCCCACUACGACGAGUACCAAUCCAUCCAUCCAAUUCCAACCAUUCUUCUUCUUCCUCCUCUACUCCCUAGCUAGCCCCUGCUCCCUACUACAAGCUGCAGGCAAAGGAAUCUGCUAGCAGGAAAGCUUCGAAUCGUAUCCAUCCUCCACUACAUUUAUAUUCCGGCAUCGAUCGAUUGAUCGCCUCCCUUCCGUUUCCAUCACUGCCCUGCGUGAGUACUUGGUCAUCGGUGACGGCAAAGGGAACCGAACCCAAGACUGCUUCCUUGUUGCAUGCCGGCGGCCAUGCAGGUGAGGAUGCAUCGCUCAACUCCUCCUCCUCUUCUUUCGUCUUAGCAUGUGUGCAGAGUUGGAUCUGCCGAGUCAGGGUUCCAUGUCGAUAUCACUAAUUGCCCUGCCUCUGGUUCCUUGUUUCUUAAUUGGGGGUCUUGCCAUCGAAUUCGGCAGCUCACUGCUUUCAUGUUUCAUCAAUCACUCAUCUUGUCAGAUGAGGACCUUAGUUGCUCUGAAUUUAGAGUGUUGUUCUCAUGGUAGUCGGCAGGUCAUGUGAAAUUCUUCUGAUUUUUCGUUUCUGCUUGCAUGUUCACCACUGAAUAUAUGCAGCUUCAGCAAGCACUGAAUACUGAUCUGAAUAUUUUUUACUCUUUUCUAGGACACCACUGCACCACCAGCACAUGAACAGAAUCCUGCAUCCGACCAACGACCGCGCCCACAUCUCUCGAUCGACAUCCCGGCAUCAAACCUGACACCAACGCCGACAGAAGGCGACAUCACCCCAACCCCUACAGGUUCUUGCAGCACCAGAAGGGGGGGAAUCCCCAUCACGCCUGUUUCUUCUUCCUCCAGCACAAAAGGCGCGCAGAAGCCGCUGCGCUCGCCGUCCUUCAUGCUGAGGCAGACGGUGAAGAGCCUCCUGCCGAUGGGGAGCUUCAAGUCGUCGGUCACCAAGAGCUACGAGGCCUCCUUCUCCAAGCUCUUCAACUCCAAGUCCAAGGUCAUGGCGAGGACUUCCUCGCUCCCUUUGGACGACGUCGCAGGGGUGGAUGCUCUGUCACACUCACAACAUGCCGUUGACAACAAAUCCUCAGCAAGUUGUACCGCCGCUGUAAGAACAUAAUUUUCAUGUCAUCCAUUCUUGUAAAUUUUACUUUUUGUGAUCGGUCUCAUCGUCUGAUUUGGAUUACAUAUGUUGGUGGCAAGCAGGAACCUGCACUUCACAUAUGCCGCUCGCAGUCCCUCCCCAUGAACAUGAAGAAAUUCAACGCCAAGAGCUUCAAGAGGAUGGACUCGCUAGGCGGCAUGUACCGUGUUGUUCCUUCGACACCGAGAGCCCCAGCUGCAAGCAAUGUCAUUCCUGAUAUAGUCCCUUCAGAGUCAGGUGGGUGCUGUGCCAAGCUUGCUGUUCCUACGGCGGUCACUGAAAAUUGUUACUGACAGACUCUGCAUUCGCUCCUUCAUUCAGGGGUCGGCGAAGACGAUGGCGAGGACAUUCCGGAGGAGGAAGCCGUGUGCCGGAUCUGCAUGGUUGAGCUGUCCGAAGGCAACGACACCCUGAAGCUGGAGUGCUCCUGCAAGGGUGAGCUUGCUCUAGCGCACAAGGACUGCGCCAUGAAGUGGUUCAGCAUCAAGGGCACCAGGACCUGUGAGGUGUGCAAGCAGGAUGUGCAGAACCUCCCGGUGACCCUGCUACGUGUCCAGAGCGUGCAGCGCGAGGCGAACCGCGUCGGCAACGGAGGCAGCAGAUCAAGAUACGAUCGGUACAGGUAGCUUGUUAACAACCUUGCAGCUCUCGUCGUCAGCAUUUGCGUUCUCUGUGGAAGCAGAACACCUAAGCUAGUGCUGGAGAGUGACACAAUGCUAGUUUAUUAUUGUCGAAUGACAAAGUUUGACCAGAAAUGCAGAACAUCAUGAAAGCAGUAUUGAUUAGGAAAAAAAUGACUAAACAAAGUGAUUAAACAAUAUUUUUACCUUAUAAACAAAGUGAACAAGCCAUGCUAGGAUGCUACUAAGACCUGCAUCAUUAGCAUCUAAUCUUCAUGGAGAUAACACCUGUACCUCCAUUUUUGGAGGGAUGCAAUAUAAUAAUUAGGACACGAUUAGCUGGUUUCCUACUUUAAGCAGAUCAGACACACACGUGUCGUCAAUUUAACAUGUGAUUGAUGCAUGUGUGCUAGUGGUACACUAACUCUCAUCUGAAACUAACAAACUUGAAUCUUCAGGGUGUGGCAUGGGACACCUAUCCUCGUAAUCAUUAGCAUCCUGGCCUACUUCUGCUUCUUGGAACAAUUACUGGUACACCUUCCUCUCCUCUUCUUGCCACUUCUCUACAAUCAAUGGUUAACAAACAUAUGGUUUGCUAAUGUUUUUUUCUCUCUCCGGUACUGUGCGUGACACUGACAGGUGGGCCAUGACGGCAUUGCUGCGCUGGCGAUAUCGCUGCCCUUCUCAUGUAUCCUGGGCCUCUUCUCCUCAUUGACCACAACAAGCAUGGGUAUGACGUGACAUCCAGAAGUCAACACGCACACACGAUUAGCUAGAUGCUCUGAUUUCAGAACCAUGAUAUCAUUAGUAACGUUGCAGUGGCAAGAAGAUACGUGUGGAUCUACGCGGCAGUCCAGUUCCUCUUCGUCGUCUUCUUCACCCAUCUGUUCUACAGAUACGUAAGCGCGCAUCAAAACACUAACUUCUGAAGAGAUUACUACCGCGCACCGUAAAAAUGCUGAACCAGUGGUCUUUGCAAAAACUUCUGCAGCUCCAUUUGCAGGCCGUGAUAUCCAUCAUCCUGGCGACCUUCGCUGGGUUCGGCGUGGGGAUGACCGGGAACUCCAUCAUCGUUGAGAUACUACGGUGGAGGAUGAGGCGGAGGGCGCCUCCUACCCAGGCACGCCGUGAUCGCAGAGCGCGUGCAGCUCAGCAGCAUGCUCCGGCGUCUGAUCAACCUUCCGGGCAAUCUUCGGUUGCCUCCGGGGGACAGAACGACACCGUCACCAGCGAUGUUGAGAACCCUGCCGUCCCUCAGGCAUAGAAGAACAUAUAUAUGCACAGUUCUUUUUUUAGUUACAUGUCUAGCAGUUGUAGUUUACCUGAGAGGUUGGGGCCUUGUUUACUGUACAAAUGGGAGAAAAUAGGAAGUCUAAUUUUUUUUUCUAAUGUCAGAGAUCCUGAUCUCAUUCCACAUUCCAGUUUUUUUCUGCAGCAUGUAUGUAGUGUAGCAGCACUGAAAAGAAUCAGUGCUAAUGUCCUUUAUCAGCAUGUACUGAUGCAUGCUACCUUAUGAAAGGAAUAUUCAGUAUGCAGUACUUCACUUUAUGGUGUAUAAAGGUUGUUAGACAUAUGUAUGCAUCCUGUUAGAAAUCUGAAGGAAAACAAGUUUGUUUGGCAUGCUUUUGGCUCCUGAAUUUGACCGGGAGUUAUGUCACAGCACUGACAAAGAGGACUUUCAUGGGUCGUGCCACAAGCUCUGUGCACGGCAGGUCAUGUGUACAAAGUGUUCUCAUUACAACACCGACGAAAUUCGUAGGCAACUUUGCCAGCCAAAAUUGGCAAAUUCAUAUCUCUACAGUUGCAAAACAGUCACAUCAGUUAGAAAGAAAUAAGUACAUACAUAAGUGAUCCUUGUACAAUUGCAAAACCGUAACCCCGUACCAAGUUUAUUGCAGAUACAUAGUGGUUCAAACCGUGACAAUAGCAAGGUACUAAAUAGCAUUUAGUGAUACGGCAGCGGAUUAGUGCUAGUGUAGCAGAUCGCGGAUAGCGGGUGCUAUAGCGGAUGCUAAGUCCAAAUAGCAGAAUUCAAAAAAUAAUCACAAAUUUAGAGCAUAUAUGAAUAUUAACAUCUAGUUUACAUAAAAAAAGUUAAAAGUAUUAAGUUAGCCAUUACAUUUCACAGUAAGAAUUACAAAUAAAUAGAUAUAAUUAAGAUGUAUAGAUAUAUAUAUUAACAUUAAAUUCUCAUAUUAAUGAAUAAAGUUUAUUUGUCAUCUCAUAAUUCUUGAUCGUUACCUAAAUAAUUAUUUUAACAUUAUUAUUACCAUUUGAUUCAUAUUCAUAUGUCACUUGAACCGUAAAUGUAGCGAAUAGCGGCUUAACAUUAGCUGGCCGCAAUAGCAGUCAAUAGUGAACAAUAGUGGCUGCUAAGUCCAAACAUGCUUUCUUUGAUCUGCUACCUUGUAGAACAGUCACUAUUGCGGACGCUACGAAUGAUAUUUAAUACCUUGGACUGGAAGCAUUCAUACUCGUUUUCUCACCCUCACGGAGGGCAUUCAACAACUCAGAUAAAGCUUACGAACUACGAAGUCACAAAGCCCAGAGAGAUCAUUUUUUUUUGAGAGAGAGGAAGCCCAAAGAGAUCUAGGCAGUAGUAAAAGAAAACGCGCUUCUUCGCCUUUUCUACCCCACAGCAUGGCCCAUUGAAAAUUUAAAAUUGGAGCCAAUGGGCUUUUAAUCCAUUAUUGAGGCAUGGAUAGCUCACUUGUUUUGUUAGCAGCGAGCUGCCUGGAGCUUGAACUUGAGCUGGUUUCUUUUACUCGUUUCCUUAAUGACCCAAGAGCUAAGAUAAUCUCAUAACAUUAACAAGCUUAUGAGCCACGUUGGCUCGCUCUCCAGCCGGCAUUGCAAAAAACGUUUAUUUUAAUCUCAUAUGCUUGGAAAUUGGUUAACAGGUAUUAAAAAAAGAUAAAACUUUAAUCUUUAUGGGGUGGUAGCCUUAUAUGGGCUAUUUGAUGUACACGUAACGAUUUAGUGUUUGAGAAAAAAUGUUUUAAUUCAUUUAUGCAGGUCAUUUUCAAAGGAGCAUAUUGGCUGCGGUUUUGAUCCCCGUUGCAGAAUGAGGAUACAAGGGAGAUCAUCUGUUAGCAUCAUGGAAAUAGGGGUCCCUCGAGGAGGCGCUUGACAAAGGGGCCUACCCGUAAGGAGGGGCUCCUGCCUCAUGAGGCCCAAACGAGGAGAUAGGCCGAGGAGUCUGAGGCCCUGGGAAGGCAAGGAAAAUAUCGCUCCUGCCUAGCGGGACCUACAUGUGGUCCACGUGGAGGGAGCAGGCCACACCCUGGAAGGCCUCCCGGGGGAAGGCUCCCUUCGAGGCAAAGCAAGUGGUGGUGUAUCCUAGCAUGGGAAGGGCACGACAGUCGAGGUAGGCCGUCAGUAGGCACCCCAUCGUCUAAAAACACCAUCAUUAUGGUUGAUGGGACGCGCAUGGGUACCUCAAGGACCGAUGGCCUCACCUAUCUCGUGGAUCCUCGCACAGGGGCACGAUGGCCUCCGGUAGGAUCCUCGUCGUUGGAUCCUGCACCUCCACGAUCAGCAUAAACAGCUCCGAGAUUUCCGUCUUGGAGAGGUUUGUGCCCGCCCCCUGUAGGGUGCGUGUCGUGUCAUUGUCGUCGGUGUAGAACCACGCCGAGCGGACCCGCGCGCACAAGGGCGUAAGGCGGUGGUGGAGGAAGUCUGCCACCACCAUGGUUGAUGUAAGCCUAGCCUGCCGAAGUUGAGCAAUCCGGUCCAGCACCGGCUGCCACACUUUGCCAAGGACCGGCAAGGCAAACCACAUGUCAGGGACGGCAACCGGGGGUCAGGCCGGAAGGCAGAGGCGCUGGUGGGACACGAUGUUCAUGUGCAGCCACCGUCUCUUCUAGUCCUCCUCUUGUCGCGGAGGACAUGGUGAUGUACUCCCCCUCGCGUGCGGCCUGAAGCUUGAAGAAGAACACCCCCACCACACGAGGAGCACUACCGGCCGACACGCUUGGACAUUGGAGGUAGAAGAAGUGGCGGAAGAGCUCGAUGGAGGGCCACACACCAACGAACAUCUUGCACAGAUGGGCAAAGAUGGCUAGUGUGAGGACAUCGUUGGGCGUGAGGUGUAGCAGAUGCACCUGGUACUCCUCUAGCACGGGGAGGAAGAAGGCGGAGAACGGAGGAAUGAGCUUGUAGAAGAAGAAGGGGAGGAACAUGACCACCUCCCUUGGCUCAUCAGGGGUCACCGGAUCCGUCGCCCCGCGGAUCGUCGUGCCACUAUCCGGCCCAACCGGAGGAAGCAUCGCCUGGAUCCGCUCCAGGGCGUCUGCGACCAUGAUUGUGGAGCGCCAAAGGUGGGCAACCCGAGGGUCACGCUGCGGUAGCGGAGGAGCGCGGCGGCUGGAGCGAUCACUCCUGGCCAUGGCAGCAAGCAGAGGAGCGGUUGAGACGAUUGAGGUGAAGGAGGCAAAAGGUUGAAGAUGACAAGUGGAGAUGAAGGAAGCCCUAAGGGCUCGCACAUGCGGUCUUAUAAGGCAGCAUGCGUGGCGGCUAGACUUCGAGAAACAACCGUUGAAGAAUAAGUGCGGAGGGUUCCUAGAAUCUAGGGGAAUCCCAACCAAAAGCUUGAGUGAUGGUCCCGAGGCACAGACGGAACGUCAAGAGGAGGUCCCCUUUCUUCUACUGGGCCCCAAACCUGACCUGAAGGGAGACAGUCCGACAUAGGGUCGGGGGCUGCUGUCAAAUCCAUGAGAACGGGGUUCCUCGAGGAGGUGCUUGACAAAGGGGCCCACCCAUAAGGAGGGGCUCCUGCCUCAUGGGGCCAAACAAGGAGAUAGGCUGGGGAGUCUGAGCCCCGGGCAGGCAAUGAAAAUAUCGCACCUACCCAGCGGGACCCACAGGUGGUCCACAUGGCGGGAGAAGGCCUCCUAGGAAGGCUCCCUUCGAGGCGAAGCAAGCGGUGGCGUAUUCUGGCAUGGGAAGGGCAUGAUAGUCGAGGUAGGCCGUCAGCAGGUGCCCCAUCCCCGUACGUAAAGAUACUAUCAUUACAGUUGAUGGGACGCGCCUGGGUGCGUUAGGGACCGACAACCUCACCCAUCCCGUCCAACAGGCAGCGAGCUCCACCCUUGUGUCAAGAGCGUCCCGCCAUGCUCCUGGCUGCCCUCUGUUAAAGAGGCGGGCCCACAUUGAGGACCCAGGAGGUGGAAAAAGGCCUCCCGGGGACACUGUCAAAAGGAAGGCCCCCACACUUAGGGCCCAAGAAGCGGCGAAGGGCUCCCGGGAAGGUCCCCGAGAGCCAGAUUCAGUGCUCCCCGUCCCGAGAUGUUGGGCUCGGGAUGAUAAAAGUAAGGAUUACCAAAGUAAGAUGGUAAAAUAUGAGAUUGGUGUACAGAGGACUUAGGCAGGGUGCUCCAGCGCCGUGCGUACCAAGGCAAGGAAGCAUCAAGGCAAAUGGAUGGCGUGUCAGAGGAACUGUAGCAAGGAGGGCAGCUAUUGGGCCGCCGUGUUCACACACACAGUGUAAAUGGAUGGAUUGGGGAACAAGGCUCGCCUCAACUCGUCCCAUGGGCCUGGCCUAUAAAAGGCCGGCUCUUGUCCAAAAAUUGACAAACAACUCUAAACAACAUAACACACAUAACGUAGGGUAUUACGCUUCCGAGCAGCCUGAGCCUAAAAACUCUCUCUGAGCAUAAUCACACACUAACUCCCCCCCCCCCAACGCUUCUCGAAUCCAUACGCACGAACUAACCCAGACUGGAUCUCUAAGGGGUCCCAUGGAUCCCCGCUCUCGGUGCUUGACCACCGUCAGCAUCUGUUCGUCACUAGAGAUCGUCGCUUUGGAUAUAUUCGUGAAGAAUAGAUGGAGAAACAAUAAUAGACUAUGCUUUUAAAUUUUUCAUGCUCUAUGUGUACCUAUUUCUCUAUUUUUUUGUGUUCAGCUUCUAAGCUGAGGAUGAUAUAAGAAUUUGGCUGUGUGAGGUCAGAGAGACCGUAACUUUUUUCCUUUAUCUAAGAAAAUCCAGCCGUACCGCUGCUUUGAAGCGCUCGUUUCCUGUGCGGGUGAGCUCCCUACUAAAAAAUAAAGAAUUCCUUGAGCACUAAAUUUUGAAUUGUUCUAGCGACCGACAAUCUUUUUUUACCCAAAGCAUAGAAUGAAAUGUUCCCUGUGCCUAUUUUUUGCAACCUCAACUACUCUACUCUUGUAUUAAGUUUUUUUUUUCCUUUUGGAGAUUUAGGGUUGAGAGAAGCAAGAAGAGGCACGAGCAUUGAGCAGUGAAGGCCUGAAGGACAAAACUCUGGACCAUUCUUUUUUUAAAAGCCUUUCACUUCUCAAUCCUUCCUUUCUGAUGUCUACACAGUCUUAAUAAUUAAUAAAUACAAACAACAUGCACCAACAAUCAGUAAAGAAGGUAAAUGUAGCAUUGGAGCAGUAGUAAAAAGAUUAAUGUUAGCUGUGGAUGAUGAAUGGAGACACACACCAAAAUAUUCUUUCCUUUGCGAUGCAGUCAAAGGUAGGGCCGAUCGACCGACCGGUUAGCCACACACACACGCAGUACCUUUUGAGCGAUCGAUUCCUAAUUUCCCAUGCUGUUCAGUCCACUUUGCAUCCAGACACACGAUUAGCCAAGACUCUGUUAAUUAGCCAAGUUCCUACUUCAGUGCAUCGCUCGUAUAGUCGUAUGCCAUGGAUUUUGUGAGAGACUCCUCCUGUAGCUUCUGCUGCUUCUUCUUUUUCCAGUGGCAUAUAUCUGCGUAUGAAUCUGAAGAAACCCUCUGGAGCAAGAAACAUAUACGCAGCAGUACAUGCUUUGGGCAGAGGCUCAAGCCUGGAAUAAUCGAAUCGCUUGCGCUGAGGUCUCAAGUUUCCCCUUCACGCACGCCACCACGCAUCGCCAUCUUCCAAUGGUUUUGUUGUGCCCUAUAUAUACGUGCAUCCGGAUCAGAGCCAGCUUCAUCGAUCACAACUGCAUUUCAUCGAUCGAGUUACCUAUCGAUUUUCUGCUCCACCACCACAUUACACAAUCAAUGGCUUCCAACAACAACGCCGUCGCCGCCGAGGUGAGCACCGCCGUUGCCAAGCUCAACGACCACCUCGCCGCCGCCCUCACCGGCGCCAACGACGAUGCCGCCACCAACACCAUCAUCACGCUGGCGGGGGAGAACAGCGGCGCCACCAUGGACGCCUCCGCCGCCGCGGGCGACGUGGAGGACCUCGUCGUUGUCGGCAACGCGGACGCCGAUGAGGACAACGACAACCAGGAAGGAGAGCAGGAGGAGGACGUGGUGAUCAGCGCCUACACCAACAGCAACUAUCAGGCCGUCAACAACUCGGUGCUCGUCUCCGGCAGCUGCGCCGUCAACGACCCCGGCGUCCACGUCGUCGUCGUCGAGCACGUCGACGAGAUUCGCGACUACGACGACGACCUCGACGCCCAAGAGUUCUAAGCCCCAGCUGCUAGCUAGCAGCUAGAGGUGGUCAUUGCAAAUGGCUUGGUCGUUUGAUGAGCAAACUAACAGUGAUUUCUUCAGCAUCAGUACUACGUAAAUGAUGUUCUAAAAGUCGAUGAUGAGGUGAUCCAUGGGAGUUACGUACAUCACAUAUAUUGUAUCCAUGCAUGGCAUAUAUCUAUAUAUUCUGAGUUCGUUUAUUUUAUUUAAUUUGCAAGACUUUGGAUUAAUUUCUUGCUUUAACUGGUUCAUGUGUUAAUUAGUACUAAAUGUGUUGUGUUUGCUGGAGUCGGUCGACUUUAUUUGCACUGGUACCACUACUGUAAGUUUCUUGAAACCAUCACACACACACACACACAUACACAAGGUUUUGCAAAAAAAAAAAAGAAAAAAAGAACCAUCAACCAGGCAUCGAUUUAGCGGUCACCGACCGUACCAUUGCUACUUGAUCCCUUCAUCAUCUGGAUCCCUAAUAAUUGAAGCUAAAACAAAUCAUGCUCAACCAAUAAUUAUGUUGGGGGGAGAGGAGAAUCUUAGGGAGAGAUAGUGAUGAAGCAGUUCGGCUACUGGGAUCCCACCGGACGGCGCCGUCAAGAGCAAUCAUAUGUGCAUCAUCGAUUUUAGGAUCCGUUUGAUGUUUCAGGAAUUCAGGUGACCCUAGCAGCUCCUUUUCAAUCCCCAACUUUUACCAUACCUCACGCAUAAUUUCUUCUGGUUCCUUACUUUUUUCACCUUUUCUAUUUUAUUUCUUUCUCCAGUAUAAUGUGGCACCCGUUACAACCAAAUGUUUGACAGCGGUUCAUAAUCUUAAUCGACAGCGGGUUCAAGGAUAAUCUUAGCCUCUUAGGUCCCGUUCGACAUGGCUUAAUUAUAUGCCAUUUCGGUUUACUAGACAUGCAUGCAUACUGUAGCUGAGCCAUUUUCCAAAAUGAUUUGAAAUGUACUCAAAUAAGGGGUGAGGAACACCUAAAACGAAACAAUUCGCGCUUCCGGUGUCAACUUCUCAAAGGCUUGCAAAUUAGAUCCCUUAUGUUGUGAGGCUUGCGAAUUGGGUCAAAUUCUGAAAAAUCUCUUAAUUGACAGAGGGUUCGAGGAUACUUCUUUUUUUUAGUAUGGUCCCCGCAAGGAAAAAGGACCUGCAACUGCGAAUCCCUGCAUGCUCGCCUUCGGUUGCACAACUGCUAAUCUUUUUAAUUUUUUCCCCACAUGGCCACACUGCAACUGCGACGCAUUUCUAGCUGGCCGGAUUUCAUUUUGGUAGACAAAGUUUGUGGCACGAUCACUCGGAGUAUUAAGAAGAAGAAAGUCACAAUCUGAAAUAACACGCAUGCCAUAGGGAUCGCAUCAGCAUCGAUGAUCAGCAUGAGCGCGAGCAAUAGCUUAGGGUGCUCUACUGUUACAUUAGUAGCCAGGUGGAUGCAUGCCUGUAAAUAAAAGAUCAUAUCAAGCUGAUCGACCUGAAGAUCACCCACACUAGUAGUGAACUGAUCUGUCUGUCCAUCAGCCCGUGUGGUCCUGAAUUAGGACUGCUAAUCCCCCAUCAUUAGACCCACUGCACAUUGAGUUUGAGAGAUGGCCUCCUAGCUACCUUAAUCAUAUGAUCCAUCACUACCCAACACUUUUGUGUUCACAAAUUUAAUUUGCACUGCUGGUUUGUAAUUCUCUACUGCAAAAGAAAUCUAGCUAGCACAAAUAUGAAAAUCUGAAAAAAUAAUAAAACUAUUUCUCUUUCAACUCGCAAUUUGGCACUGUUGAGUUUUAUGAUUCUUUUGCGAUUGUGUAAGGGGGUUCUGUACUUUUGUACUUUUCUUACCAUCAAAAGUAAAGUUACACAAGUACAUCAAAGAACUUUCUGUUCGAGAUCCCGAGCUUUGGAAGCAGGGAAAAUUUUGAAUUCCCAACUCGAAGCAUCUCUUGCUCUAGUAGAUUUUGUUGACGCAGAAUCUGGACCUCAAGCUUUUGUGUUGAACAACAUGGAGGACCUGAGAGAUCGGCUUAACUCAAAUGCAGGUUCCAAAUCGGCUCGCGAGUGGUGCAAGGCGUGCCAGUCAAUUUGACCUGCAAUUGACAAGGUAAACGUAAAAUUCAUGAGCCGAUAGGCGGCGAAGCCUUCGAGCUCAUAAGUAGGCGUUCUUUGAAUAAACAUCAUUAAGAUAUAUUUGAUGUAAUCAUGCGGUCUAAAUAAACAAAACAUUAAUAACUGUGCCAUCGGCUAUGUCAGCCAACGGGCUAAGAUAAAGCAUUAUAACACAACAGCCAUAAAACAAAGCCCUUAUUAACCACUCGCUUAUCAUAUAAGCUAACAGAUCUAGCCAAUGUCUUGAUAUGUGUAUUGAACUCAGACAGGUAAGAGGGCAUUGGUAUCAAUUUACUAACUUAAAAGAUUAGAACAUAGCAACAAGGAUCAGUCGAUGCUGACUGUACACAAGCUAGAUACAUUAAUAGAUUUUAAUUAAUAUCUUAAUAAGUGUAUUGAACUUAGACAAGGCAACAUGAAUGAGAGGGCAUUAACCUCGAUCUGACAAUAUAAAAGACUAGAGCACAAUCACUAAAAACCUCUUGCCUACCGUUUGCAAACUGAUUAAGGUAACAAAAUCUAAUCAAUGUCAUGACCGUGUAAUUGAACUUAGACAAGGUAACACGGUAAGAGGACAUUAAUUUCGUCUCGUUAAUCUUAACAGACAAUCUCGCGGUAGUAAGGCCUCGUAUGCAUGCCUAUCGGCUCAAUGAUGUCAUCAUGCUUCUGUGAGAUACGGAUAAGACCCGUUCGAAGCAUCGGCUCUCAACAUACGGUUAGCAAUACGAGGGGCAGGGGUAAAGAUCUAUUGGACCUACAUGUAAAACAAGAAAGGCAUGCAAGAUCCACCAAUCGAUACGAUCUGAUAACUAUGAACGUUUAAACAGGGUAAGGGAACCGAUGAAGACAACCUAACCAGAUCUAAGCCGUUCGAUAACCAUAAGUAACAUCGAAGACAAGCAUAAUAUUGGACAAAGUUUAGAAAGUUCUACUUGCGACUAAGUUAACUCGAUAACUAGCUACGUGAUCGAAUAUCAGAAUAUAAGACUUAACUUAGAAAGUUCCGAUAGAGAUUGUAAUGACCAGGUGAUGGUACUUACAGGCUUGUCUGAGAUCGAAACCGUUGCAACCCUGCGCGCAAAAAGAAAUUCGUCAGGAAGCUACUUUACUCCUACUCCUAAGGGUUGGCGGCGUGGCGCAGAAAGAUUAUAUUGAUUGAUUGAAAGAUUACACUUUACAAGCUUUACGGGUACAUAUUUAUACUCUGAAACUAACAUAACCAAACUUGACUAGCUACUAUAGAAAUCUUAACUAAACAAAGGAAAUAUUAAGAUACACGGACUCUAUUUUCCUUAUGUAGAAUCCUCGCUGGUCAAGCUUCCUUGCCCGGCUCAUCCGCAAAAAAAAACUGAUCCGCAUGCAUGAUUAACCGGACUCCUUCAACGUGGCGCAUGUAAAGUAAACCAACAACCAUGCCGUAUCCUUCCUUUGUUUAUUCUAAUUAUCUUCGCAUGCAUGUGCUGGCUCUAUCUUCUUUGCAUGCACUUUCUUUAUUUAGCUUGUCUCUCCUUGGCCGAUCCCAUCAAAUUAAUUCUUGUAUUAACCGGUCCUCAAUUAGACAUGGUAUUUUAUCGGCCAAAAUCCGGUGUCAAUAGAUUUAUCAUCGACUCAUCGAGUAUUGAAAUUGUUUCAUCGAAUUUCAAACUUUCAAGUUCAGGUUCUAGGACAUUUGAAGUUUUUAAAUGGGAACUUGGAAUUCUUGAUUGCCAAAAUAUAUAAAUUUUGAAUUCCACUGUGCAUUUAGAUAAGUCAAACUUUAUAUAUUUUUACGAAUAUUUAGUUUAAUUAUAACUAUAUUUAGUGUAUAAAGUUUGUAUAGUUCAAGAUACUUUUCAUAUAUAGUACAUUGUUCUUUUAAGCUAUAAAUAAUACUCUAUAAUUGUGAGAAAACAGUCUAACUUUAUAGAAUAAAAUAUUUCUCACAUUCUUAAACGAAGCGAUUACUGCUGGACAUCAAGCAUUAUCCUAGUUCGAAUAACAUGAUUAAACAUAAUACGCAUGAACCAUAUUUUUAAAAGAAUAAACACAGGGAAAUAUUAAAAUAUCUAAAAAAUUUCCCUAUCAAAUAUAAUUGGUUGAUUAGAUUUAUGCGUAGCAAAAUACCAAGACAUAUCCUCAUACCCAAAAAAGGCCCACACAAGAUUUAUGGGUAGGCAGCAGAAGAAGCAUCAAGCUUAUUGCCAAUCAUCAUUAACAAGAUAAUAAACUGCUACAGUGUUAAUUUCACGGCUCUGCUUGGAUGCACUCACUAUAAAAUCCAUGGCAUCGCAUCCUCCCUCCUCGCACCACUCCACUGCAAAGGCGGAGCAGUUCCACUGCCGCUCACCACGCACGACCGAUCGCCAUGGCCGGCGGCAACCUCAAGAACUUGGUCAUCGCCUUCCUCGUCCCGCUCCCCUCCAUCCUCUUCUACCUCUCCUUCGUCCGUCCCGGCGGCAAUGCCGACGCCGGCCCGCUCUCCUCGUGGUGCGCCGAGCACCCGCUCCUCCUCGCCAACGUCCUCUUCUUCCUCAACGUCAAUGUCCUCUUCUGGCUCGUCGGCCUCCUCCUCUCCAACCACUGGGUAAGCACUAGUCACCCCCUCUCCAAUCCAGCACUUUCUUUGCUUAAUGCCCCCCGGCGUUUUGUUUCGUUCCCCUGCAAAGCACUUUUACCUGCAAUGUGUUCGACGAAAUGCCGACUAAGUUUGUGCUGGCUGUCACCCCCUGUUGCAUUGCAGCUCAUCGACCUGUACUGGACCGUCAUCCCGGUGAUGCUGCUGCACUACUACCGGGGCCACCCGGCGUCCGUGACGGAUGCAGUGAGGUCAGCAGUGGUCGUAGCGCUCACCUGGGUGUGGAGCGCCAGGCUCACGCACAACUACCUGCGCCGCGAGGGUUGGGAGUUUGGCAAGAGGGAGGACUGGAGGUUCAAUGAGAUGCGGGGACAGUACGGCAAGACCUGGUGGUGGAUGUCAUUCUUUGCCGUCUACCUCUCCCAGCAGGUAUUGGCUCAAUUCAUAAAAUUUCUCAGUGUAUCUGAAGAAAUGACAAUCUAGCUAUGAACAUUCAUGGUGGACAGUAUCUUAAUCCGAAUUCCAAAUCACACGUUUUUUUGCUGGCAGGUGUUCCUGAUCAGCAUCUGCCUGCCCAUGUACGCAAUCCACUCCAGCAACCAGCCAUGGGGCAUUUGGGACGUCGUGGCCACAGCCGCCUGCAUUGCCGGAAUUGUCAUCGCUCACUUCGCCGAUACCCAGCUUCACAAGUUCGUGACCAAGAACGAGAAGCUGAAGCAGCUGGGCGAGCCAACUGUCCCCACCCUCGAGGACGGCCUGUGGUGGUACUCGCGCCACCCCAACUACUUCGGCGAGCAGCUCUGGUGGUGGGGCCUGUAUCUCUUUGCCUGGAACCUGGGCCAGCAAUGGAUGUUCGUGGGGCCCCUCGUUAACACCCUUUGCCUUGGCUAUGUCACCGUGCUCGUGGAGAGGCGCAUGCUGAAGCAGGAGCACCGAGCUGAGGCCUACAAGCUGUACCAGAAGAGGACCUCUGUGUGGAUCCCCUGGUUCAGGAAGUCUGUCCCAGAACUGAAGCAGAAGGAGACCUAAUCUCAUGUUGUAGUUUACUAUUUGGGUCUUUGCCCCUUGUCCAGGUUGUUCACCAUGCUGUUGUUCCAUCCUGUAAUGUCGAGUACUUGUCGUUUCAUCCCUUUGUGCAAUUAACUGUGCAUGAACUGUACUAGCUUGUAUCAUGAUCACCUGUUUAAGGUGUAAAUUAAUAAUAAUGUAUCUACAAUGAUCUGCCUAAUCUCAAGCUUGCUUCCUGCUCAUUUCAUCCAUCAGAAGGAACAAAUAUAUUGAUCUAGACUGAGAUCAGAUCAUGCUUUCCAGCUGGGACUGCAACUUGGAUUAUCAAAUCUGAUCAGUUACAUUCUGGUCAUAUACUCACAUCCACCCUUUUUUCCCAAUGUUGACAGGACAAAUGUUUAUACCAAUGUUAUCAAAUGUUUAUAUCAAAUUUGGUCAUAUACUUGUAUCCAUUUUUUUCCUAAUAUUGACAUGAAAAAUGUUUAGAUCAAAGAUAUCUACAUAUGUAGUCAAUUUUGUUUCUCUGCUGCAAACCCCUUCUCGUCAGUGAUGCUCUUGGUUGGUUCUAUCAUUUCAGACUCCUGGUCCUGGACCAUUAGAACCUGCAGCUCUAUCAGGAUGAAGCUCUUCCACCGCCUUCUGAAUGCCAGUGCCUGGUAUGUAUUCCCAUGCUUUUCUGGAUAUUUGAAAUCAAAUAUGGACCUACCGACUGUUACUUGCCGCCGUUUGCUCUGAUUCCAGCGUUAUGUUCCUGUCUGCCACGGUGCAUAAAGUGGCAAUGGAGACAUAAUAGAUGACGUAUUGCAAUUGCUCGGUGCAAUUAGUUUGUAGCUAAAAAUGUAAUUACGGCUUUCAGUAUCUGGAUGUAUGGUCAUAGUUUGUGCUGGGAUUAAGUGAAAUUUUAGUUCAAAUAUUUCACUAUAUUGCCCCUAUCUAUACAAGGCAUUAGGCGAGUACUGACUUCUGAGUAGAUUAAACUGAGCUGAGGGGCACUACAAGAAUUUGGCAGAUGAAUAUUACGAUGAUACCCACCCAGAAAAAAGUUAGGAACAUUCGAUUCCUCUCCGAUGAACACCCAACUUUUUAAGGACUAUAAUCAAGAGCAGCGCCUUUAAACUUGUGUUAUAUGUGUUAUAGUAGAAUUGAAUGAUUACACGGUUACUUUGCAGCGUUGUUUAUCCCCAGCCAGCUGCUGCAUAUGCUUGCUUGGCCGAAAAGAAGAGUGGCGUGCAGCGCAGCCUGAAUAUACAAGUUGAUGAAAGAGGCCGGCCGCAUGAAGCACUUUUACUUUUGGUUGGGUUGAUGAUCUUUGUAUCAUUAUCCGAGCUGUUUGUUCAUCCAUGGGCCCCCAGAUCUCACCAAGCUAUUACAACUCUAAUAUUUCCCAUUACGUAUUCAACACACAGUUGCUAAGCAGCGGGGUAAACUAUUGUAUGCUGCUCAAUCCAACUUGAUCUGCUUUUGGCACGCAAUGAUGCUUUGUCAACUUUUUGGCCAACGGGAAGAGAAAGCCACCACCGUUCGGCAUUCUGAAACUCCGAUUGAUGCUUCUGUUCUUUGAGUUCAUGGUCCUGUAAAUAGUGUCUGAUACUAACCAUACCAAGCUUCUUUUCAUCCCGGCUACCAACCUAAUUGUUUUCAGCUCUGAGCUAUCCAUUUUUAUGCCAGCGCUAUUAUCUAAGUAAAGAUUAAAAUUCAAACAUCCAUUUCCACUGUUGUACUUCACUUGUAUGAGAAACUACUGUAUGCAGUGAUGCAGUGGAUUUCAGUUUUUGCCUGCGCCAUUCUGUUUGUCUGUCAGUUUUAAUAUUAUGCAGCUUAACCAACAUAGCACGUUGCCCUCAAUGCUCUGGGCGUUCUGUAUGAGAACUACUUACAAAUUUUUUCGACCAAUCAAGAUUUUUUUUACAAAAAACAAAAUAAAAUAAAAUGCACAGACCACAGUUAAGCAUCGAUCUCAAAACAUGAGUGCGUGCAGCCUGCACGAUUUGGACCAUAUGUUGCAGAAACUUCCUCUACCCACUGGUCAUCUCUGUUUCCAAUUGAGCAAUUGCUUCAACGCCAGGAUUACUGUUAGUAUCAUAUCCUAACGAGGUAAGUCUUGGGCUCACAUCUGAGUGGUUGCAAUCAAAGUGUAGAGUUGUCGACACAGAUAUGACAUGCAUUAUGUAUAAUAAGAGCUCUUUUACUGCACACAAUACUACUACUUAGUGGUAUAUAAAGUAGGACCUUUAUAUAUAAUAAUGAACUAUCAGCCUUCAAUGCCAAAUGAUGCUAGGAGAGGUGCAGGGGGGAUCCGCAGGGCAAAGAUACAGCUUGAGGAGCGAGCCAUUGCUGAGGGUGCUUUGGAUGAGGCCGCUCCAGAGGACGAGUCACUUGCUGCAGCAGAGGCACCUAUGCCAGCUUACCUUCCCACCGACUCAGAGGACUCCGAUGAGGAUAAGGACUACAUGCCUACUGAGCCUACUUUCACACUCCAUCGUGCUCAUGACGAUGAAGCAGGGACCUCUCUUUCAGGACAACGUGUGCCAGCACCGGCAGUUCCUACAGUCAAAGCAGCACAGGUAACUUAGCCUGAUACUCUCACUGCUAUACUUCAAUUUUUAGCUCAGGGGCAGCAAGCUAGUGAGGAGACGCAACAGCAGAUGCGGGCAUAGUUAGCUCGCCAGUAGGUAAUACUUGAGGGCAUUCAACAGCAGAUGAUUAACUUAUAGAUGUUCACUUUCUUUUCUAGCUUCUUGGGACAGUUGUACCAUCACACAGGCCUUGAGGCUCAUCCAGCUCCUACUUCUCAGCAGCUUUAGCACGACCCUAUGGCUCCUCCUCCAUCGAUUGGCGGAUUUGUGUAACCCUUGGCUACCUUCCUAGUCUCGCCACUUCUUCAAAUAGGGAUGUUCUAACUUCCACAAUCGAAGGCACAGUGUGACCAGAAAGAGUAGUCCUUCCUUGACCAGCUUUAGCAGAAUUAAUUCUCCAGUCAACUUCAGUCAACUCAGGUGCCUGCUUCAUUCUCAACAGCACCACUCACCUUUGAGCAGACACCGCAGCCUUUUCUCACUGGUCCGAGGUCUAGUUCUCCUUUUUCGUCCUUUGUGACACCUCGGUCCAAGGGGCUUGACACGACCGAUGCCACUCUUCGCGCUAUCACUCAGCAGAUUGACAUAAAGAUGGCUUCAGGGGUUGAGGUGACAGUUUCUCAGGGCGACACCACCGUUUCUACUUCUUCUGCUCCUGUCACCAUAGUUGUCGCUACUUCAGCUCCUACUUCUUCCACUUCGUUCGCCCCGAGGGCUCUCCUACAGCUUCGUUCUUGAGGGCUCUCCUACAGCUUCGUUCUCAAGCUGACCCCGUUCGUCCCGAGGGCUCUCCUACAGCUUCGUUCUCGAGCUUCGAUGACGAUGACGCUAACAUCUUGGGCUACGUGAUGCAGCCCUCUGGAGCACCUGCAACCUCUUCACCAUCUUUUCCACCCCAACAGGACUAGAGCUUUUAGGUCUCCUUUUUAGUGCAUCAGUGCCAAAGGGGGAGAUAGAUAGGGGGAGUAGAGAUAGGGGGAGCUUGGAGGGAGUGUGUUGUUUCUUCUGUGGAUCUUCAUGUCUAGACAUGUUAUUUUGAUCUUGUGCUUGUUGGUGUGUUGACAUGUCUACUCAUGUGUGUGGUUUACUUUCAGUUAAUGCUUGUGUGCUUGUUUACCUUCUCUAUAUCUUGUCAUGCGUUAAUUGUGUUGAAAUGUGCUUUAGAUUAAAAUUCUGUAUCUCUACUUGUUGUGUUGUCAUCUAUCACCAAAAAGGGAGAGAUUGAAGCACCUAGGCCCUUUCGCACCUUUGAUAAGGGUGUGUUUUGGUGAUAAAUGAUAACCAUUUACUUGUGACUAACCCAUGUGUUUUGAAGCGAAUCAAUAUUGGUUAUUAUGUCAUGAGUUAAAUGGAAAUUGGCCCCUCAAUUUGAAUUAUCAUGCAGGCUAAGGGCUAAUGCGACAAGGCUAAGGACCUUUCUAUGAUGAAGUGUCACAGGGAGAUGAAGGACACUUAGUGUAAUAUAAGCUUUGCUAGUUUGUAGCACUUGGACCGUACUAUUAAGAGGGGUUUCAAUGUUAGUAGCUUGAUAUUGUGAAACUAACCACGAAAAUGAUGCAUACUCAGCAUUUUCUAGAACUUGGUAGCUCAAUGAACUCAAGGAAGUAUUCAAGAAGCGAAGAAAUUGAUGGAAAACUCAAAGGUGAUUGCAUUGGAUGAGUGAAUAUGAAAAGGGACUGUCGGAUGUUCCGACGCCCUAAUUCUUAGAUGCGUCGGAGCAAUUUUUCAGAGGUGAAAAACUAAAGGUCAAAAUCAGUUGCUUCGAUGGUAGAGCAUCGGACGAAUAUUGCGUAGCACUAGAUGUUUCGAUGCUAUGUCAAGAAGACUGUUGCAGCAAGCAUGUGUUCUUUGCAAAUUUCCAAAGAGGUUUUGACAAAAAUACCUUUAGCACCGGAUGUUCCAACACCUGUCAUGUGACCAUUGGAUCAAUGUUUCGGAGCAAGUAUAGUUUCUUUGAAAACUUCCAGAGAGGUUUUGACUAGAACCCCUUUAGCACCGGAUGAUCUGACACUACUCAGGAGACCAUCGGAGCAUUCACCGGAGCAACAUUUCAUUGUUACUUUUGUAACGGUCAUAUUUUGAAGAUGUGAGUGACCGAAUGUUCCGACACCUUGGGGGAUGGUCGAUGGUGUGCUUUUCUGCAAGCACUUUUUUAACGGCUAGCUGCAGUUGCCUAGCCUAUAUAUACCCCUCCCCCAGGUCAUUUGAGCUGCUCUUGACAUCAUGCAGUUGCAAGCAGCCCAUGUGUAGUUGAGAGUGUGCUAGAGCCAAAGAGUGAUUUGUGAUUUGCAAAAUCUCAAGAUUAAGGACUCCUCUUAGUGUUGGAGGGUAGCAAGUGUGUGUCUAUUCAUGGUUUAGCUGAGUGCUGAUCAAGUGAAGUCAUUGACGCUUGUUACUCUUGGAGGUUGACAUCACCUAGAUGGUCUUGGUGACCUGGUUCUUGAUGAGCUCUUGGAGAUUGUGGGAGCCCUAAGAAGAAGAUCUUAUACACGAUGUGAAGCUCACUGUUCGAAGAUGGAGAAUGAGCAUUCUUAGUGAAGCACUCUUAUUUUUGUGACUUGAGGGAGCAAAACCCUUAGUGGGUGCUCCAACGUGGAUUAGGGGGGGGCGUCAACUCCUCGAUACCACGGGAAAAAAUUCGGUUGUCUCGUGUCCUCACUCUUUACAUUUUAGCACUUCUUUUGAGCACUUACUUCCUACAAUUUACUUAUCUUUUUGCUCUUGAUAAAGUUGUGUUUGCUUUGCUCAUAUCUUGCCUAAGGAAAUGAUGAUCAUGUUAGUGUGCUCUCCUUGCUAGGUCCUUUGUUUGCUAGUGUGCUUAGUUUCUAGGUUUGAACCUUGUAGAUUGGGCAACACUAGAAAUCUAGGCUAAAGUUUACUUUUAUUGUUCUAGAAAUUUCAAAAAGUUCCAAUUCAACUGCCCUUCUUGGCAACCGAUCCUUACAAGAAUUCAGAAACUUCCUCCAAGAGAAAAUGUAGUGUUUUUUUUAGAAAAGGGAAUAUGUAUUAAUAUUCCAAGAGAAAAUGUAGUGUUGCAAGGGAGAAAUGCAGAUCCUGCAAUGAGCUCUUCGAUCCAUUGCUAGUGAAUUGAAAGAUGCAGAUAAUAGCUGUUGCCGUGGCUUUCAGAAAAAUAAUAUAUUCUUGCUAUUUACUCUUUGCUUGGAGCAUGAGCUAAAGAAUAAAGAUGGAAGGAAAUUUUCUUUAGUAAAAACAUAGUCAUGUAGAAUGAAUUUUGUUUGAAGUAUUGAUAUGCAAGGAACCUUUUCGCUUUAAACAUGGAAAGAAUCGUCAUCUAGGUAAGAAAAUUAUCUUUAAUUUGAAGAAGCUUUUUAUUUUGAAUAACUCUCUUUAUUCAUGCUUCAUGUAUCGGUCACAUUCUGCUUUUUUUUCCCUCAUCUAAUGCCUGCGUGAACACUACUCUGCUCUGCUCCUGUCUAAGCACGACAUGACCAGAUUACCACUUUUCUGUGAAGGAUCGACACGAAGAUUAACUGCUGUAAAUGCAAACUGCAACAUGGAUGCCACUUGUCACUAUAAGAAUGACAUAAAAUUCCCACCUUCUAAGCGCAUUGUGUUCAGACAUCUUUUCCCCAGAGGAAAUUAAGGCAUAACUGCAGAACAUUAACCCUCAAAGCAAGUUCGUUGAGGUUUUCCAAUGAGCUCUUGGGUCCAUUGGUAGUGCAGUGAGCUUCAGGUAACAGCUCUUGUCGAGGCUUUAUAAAAUAACAUAUGAAAUUGCUCUUUGCUCUUCUCUUCCGGCUGCAGCUAAAGAACAAAGACGCAAGGAACUUUUCUUUUAAAAAAACAAGUCAUAUGGAAUGAACUUUUGUUUGAAAUAAUCAUAUGGAAGGAACCUUUUUCUAAAACAAAAAAUAAAGAGAUGGAAA